GUCUGACUGAUGCCCAAACACUCAUCCUUCCCUGGGCCUCCUGGCCUUUAGUAUCCAACUUUAUGCAGCAGUUCUCUGAGGUUCAGAAGGGAUGGAGCUCUGAAACAGGGUUUUCAUUUUUCUCAGCACACGUUUGCAGUGCACAAUGACCACGCUCACCCGGGAGGCUGAAGGUGACACGGCACGUCUUCAUUCUUGCUCCAUCCCCUUCCCCCUCUUCUCACCCGUCCCCCCUUCUCUUGGCCCCUUUCCCUUCUGCGAACGAUCUAUCUCUCUGUUUCCUAUUACAAUUCACCUUUUACAAGCCACCUGUGUGUGCCCCUGCCCGUUCACCCUCUCCCCGAGUGUUGUCAACAACCCUGUUCACUGCAGCUCUGAUCAAGAACGUUACACAGCUUAG
rnacentral:lncRNA from 1 species